GAUGAACGCUAGCUACAGGCUUAACACAUGCAAGUCGAGGGACCGGCGCACGGGUGAGUAACACGUAUCCCACCUGCCCUUUACUCGGGGAUAGCCUUUCGAAAGAAAGAUUAAUACCUGAUAUAAAGGAUGGGGAUGCUGUCCAUUAGGUUGUUGGAGAGGGAACGGCCAACCAAGCAUUCGAUGGAUAGGGGUUCGGAGAGGAAGGUCCCCCACAUUGGAACUGAGACACGGUCCAAACUCCGACGGGAGGCAGCAGUGAGGAAUAUUGGUCAAUGGGCGCUAGCCUGAACCAGCCAAGUAGCGUGAAGGAUGAAGGCUUAUGGGUCGUAAACUUCUUUUAUAUAAGAAUAUGUAUUAUAUGAAUAAGGAUCGGCUAACUCCGUGCCAGCAGCCGCGGUAAUUC
rnacentral:rRNA from 1 species